rnacentral:rRNA from 1 species
CAACACGGGGAGGUAGUGACAAGAAAUAACGGUACGGGGUCUCAAUAGGUCUCGCAAUUGGAAUGAGUACAAUUUAAAUCCUUUAACGAGGAUCAAUUGGAGGGCAAGUCUGGUGCCAGCAGCCGCGGUAAUUCCAGCUCCAAUAGCGUAUAUUAAAGUUGUUGCAGUUAAAAAGCUCGUAGUUGGAUUUCGGAAUGGGCCAGUUGGUCCGCCGUGAGGUGUGUUACUGACUGGUCUGUUCUUCUUCGCAAAGACUGCGUGUGCUCUUUAUUGAGUGUGCGUAGGAUUUACGACGUUUACUUUGAAAAAAUUAGAGUGUUCAAAGCAGGCUAUCGCUUGAAUACAUGAGCAUGGAAUAAUGGAAUAGGACUUUGGUUCUAUUUUGUUGGUUUCUAGGACCGAAGUAAUGAUUAAGAGGGACAAUUGGGGGCAUCCGUAUUUCGUUGUCAGAGGUGAAAUUCUUGGAUUUACGAAAGACGAACAACUGCGAAAGCACUUGCCAAGAGUGUUUUCAUUAAUCAAGAACGAAAGUUAGAGGAUCGAAGACGAUCAGAUACCGUCCUAGUUCUAACCAUAAACGAUGUCGACUAGGGAUCAGCGAGCGUUAUUGUACGACCUCGUUGGCACCUUACGGGAAACCAAAGUUUUUGGAUUCCGGGGGAAGUAUGGUUGCAAAGCUGAAACUUAAAGGAAUUGACGGAAGGGCACCACCAGGAGUGGAGCCUG